rnacentral:lncRNA from 1 species
UUUUAACCUAUUAUUUGUUCAAUAACUUUCGUUCACUAAUUUGUUUUUUAAAGAACUUGCAUUUUUACCUAUACUUUGGUAAUCUACGUUUUUGGCACAUAUACUUUAUACCGACACCUCAACUUUUAAACUUUGCAUUUUCAUGUUUCGACGCAAAUUUGGUAAUGCGCUUCUCUGCUUUGUUGGUAAUGUCAUACAUACUCAUUGCUUUUCCGUUUAUCUCUAUAUUUCUUAUCUUCUCUGAGUUGUCCCCAGACAAAGAGGAAGAAGAACAGUAAAAGUGGCUGAAUGGAGCACGGCGUAUUGCGUCCCGCAGAUAGGAGUCAUAUCGGACGACAUAUAUCUCUUUCGAAAUUCAUAAGGUUCGGUCAACGAAGCUCUCUGGUGGUCUUUGUCUAGCAACAUCAUAUCAGGUAUUUUGUAGUUUCAAGAUGUGGUCAAACAUACACACUUUUCCAGAUACGGGUCACUGUUAUCGUCACCACCAGAUAUCCACGCUUUGCGUUCACCGACUCCUCCCAACCUUCGACGGCAUACAUAGUCAGUGUUAGCAACAAGCGGGAUUUUGGCAUCAAUAACAAAACUGGGAUUGACUACAGAGCUAAUUAACAAAGGCAAUAACUUUUGUAUUAAAAAAGAAAGAGACAUAGACUAAUGUUAAAAGAAUAUAAAGUAUGUAAACUAUAGUUUUUAAUAUAAUGCAAUCGACUCUACUUAAUGAAGCCUAAUGAACACGUAAUACGU